ensembl:lncRNA
GCCUUUUCUGCAGCUAUGGGGCAUAUAUGGUAUCAUUCUUGGCUGGAAGCAGAGCUUAAACAAUGGAAAAAACACACACUUUGUCCAAAAACCUCUCAUGUUUAACUGUUUUCCACUUUUUCUUUGGUCAUUUUAGCCUUUUUGGCCAGGGUGAAGGGAGUAUCUGCCAUCAAACAAGAAGACAGCCGCAUGUAGCUAUGAUGAUGUUUGCUAGUUCACCUUACAUACAUUAAUGCAAUAACGUGGUUAGCCUACUCAGCGUAAAUUACACACGAACAACAUUAAGCUACUCACGCGGAGAAGAACGGCUGCUGCUGCCAUCAUCAUCCGUCAUCAUUUCUGCUACACUGGCAGGGCUAGGGGCCAGGACUCUACUCUUCGGGUUUUUGGGGGAUGUUGCAAACUCCGGGUCCGAUAACAGGCACCACACCCGCAGUAGAUGUGCACGGUGUGAGGUCUCGCAGCAAGCUAUCAAAUACGGCGCAUUUCUCGGCUUUUAAAAAAAACACUAUGCGUCGCCAGGUGUUUCAUCAGAUUCGAGUUGUUACCUCCUUUGCACAGUAUCACCUUAAAGCACUUGUUGCAGGCUGCAGAGUUUGCAUCUUUUGCUGUGAAGUACAGCCAGACUUUUGACCGCUUCGCCUUGGGCAUUUUUAAUCUGUAGCUCUGCUCUAAAAGAACGUACGUACCUGGGCCCGCCUACUAUCCUCGGAAACGUAAAAUGAUUGGCUAGAAUCUAAGGUGUAUCACAGCUCAGGAAAAAAAAAAAAAAAAAAAAGCACCGAAAUAAAGCACCGAAAUGUGCGCUGCUUUUCGGUCUGGUUACUACCGUUUAUGACAGGAUACCGGUACCCAUCCCUAGUCUCGGCUCUUUUUCUGGCAAUUUCACAGCCAGUUGAUGGUAUCAGUUUAAAAAAAAAAAAAAAAAAAAAAAAAAAAAAAAACUCUUCUGCAUUAAUUAGCAUCAAUUCAUCAGUCCAAAAAACCCUAUGACCUUUUACUUAAGAAGGAAGUGGUUAAGAACAACAAAAAAGUAAGCAGUGAAGUUAAAAAUGUAUGAGCCUAGCCUCAAGCAGAGUGCUUGUAUGUGUGUGUUGAACACUGUGGUGUUAGCAUUUAGCAGUCAGAAUGAAGAACAGAUACAGAAGGAACAACUUAGAAUUAUAUAAACUUAAGUGCUGCAGUCUACUACUGAGAGUCACUGCUCACCUAAUGCGGAGUUUUUAAUGGUCAAAUGCAGACCUUAUUAUCUCCCCAGAGAACUCACCUCUAUCAUACUCACUGCCGUGUAUAUACCCCCCGACGCUAAUGCUAGGUUGGCCAUGAAAGAACUUUCUGCAGCCAUUAACAAACACCAGAAUAAACACCCCGAGGCUGCUUUUAUUGUUGCUGGCGACUUCAACCACACCAACUUAAAGACAGUCCUCCCCAGAUUCCACCAACAUGUCUCCUGCCACACCAGAGGAGACAAGACUUUAGACCAUGUGUAUUCCAACCUGGCUGGAGCCUACAAAGCCACACCCCUCCCCCACAUUGGACAAUCGGACCAUCUCUCCCUGUUCCUCACACCUAGGUAUUCACCACUCAUCCAACGUGUGAAACCUGCUGUGAGGACAAUUAAAGUGUGGCCACAGGGGACAGACGCAGUGCUCCAGGACAGAUUUAAAAACACAGACAAACAC